rnacentral:lncRNA from 1 species
UGUGUGGUCUCUUCAGCAUAGCAACAGCAGCGUAGCUGAACAUCUUACGGAUGGCCCAGGGCUCCAAAGGCUCGUUUCCUAAGUGAGAGAGAGCCUGGCUGAAGCUGUAUUACCAUUCAUUCUCCAGCCUCCGAAGUCUCAAAGCAUCACUUCCACCAUACUCUAACUGUCAAGACAAACACAAAGGCCCAGAAACUGCCAGACUGUCUUCUGAAGUGGCUAUAAUAUUUACACUCCCAUCAGCAGUGUAGAAGGGGUCUCACUAUGUUGUCUGGAGUGCUGUGGUGGAGUGGAGUGGCUAUUCACAGAGCCUGUUCUGCUGGGACACAGAAUCACUUGCUCCAUCUCAUACAUUGAUGAUGAUUAAUUUGUAUGUGUACCUUCCAAAAAAGAUGGUUGUGUUUGAAUGGAGGCCUUCUGGACAGGAAAAUAUGGAGAGUGCGUGCUUUGGAUUCAAGACUGGGAAUGAGGGGACCAGAAACCUAUUCUGUGGCUGUUUCUUGUUAGGACUUUCCUAAGCCUCUGGAAAAGUGCAAAGUACAAUUAACAUUUGAGUCUGUCUGAGUCAUGAAGAAAUGGAGAUUACUGAAAAUAAUUCAUUUUGGUAUCUUCUUACAUCCUGAGAGACUAAUCUUUCCAAGUUCAUCUGAGGCUCCUCUUCUCCAUGACAACCUCAUCCAGGGAUUUCUUCCUGUCCUGGUGUUUUAUGACAUAAUCACAUCCUUCCUGAGAUAAUGAGCACACAAUUGCCUGGAUACCUGAAGGAAUGGAGACAGCGGCAGAAAACACUGCAGAGAGGUGGAAACAUCCGUUAAUAUUUUAAAAUCCCAUUACUGCUACCAACAAUAAUAAUGGAUGCAUAGAAAUAGAUCUGGAUUAGCUGAGCUUGAAACAGUCCAUCUCACACACACACAAAAGAAUUUCAGGUAAUGAAGAAAAGAAAAGGAAAAAAAUAACACAUGGCCUCUGUAACAUUGUUGCUUUUGAACCUUAUUGGAUUUGUGGCAAACUGGGUGCUUUUGGGACAUGAGUCUCCUACCACUCACCUGCCUCUGAGCUCUCCUCUGAGGCCGGUCACUGCCCAGAAGGGAUGCACCUGUCUUCUGUCCUGUGGUCUCUGGGUAGCCCCUGGGUCAGCAUUUUGGGUGCUAGCAUCUGAUGCAACUGCUACAGUUGCUGAUGAGAAAGUAGCUACCCUCCUCCACUCCACCCCUGCCGCCCAGGCCCUGCCACUCCUGCUAACCUGUCAGGCUACAUUUUCAAUUACUGGCUUUGAAAAAUGUCCAGGUGGAUUAAAUCAAUGAAUGCGAUGAGCUGAACACAA